rnacentral:rRNA from 1 species
CCGCGUGAGUGAUGAAGGCUCUUGGGUCGUAAAGCUCUGUCAGAGGGGAAGAAACUCCUAUUGUAUAAUACAUGAUAGGCCUGACGGUACCCUCAAAGGAAGCACCGGCUAACUCCGUGCCAGCAGCCGCGGUAAUACGGAGGGUGCAAGCGUUGUUCGGAAUUAUUGGGCGUAAAGAGCGUGUAGGCGGCUCGCCAAGUCUGAUGUGAAAGCCCUGGGCUCAACCCAGGAAGUGCAUUGGAAACUGGCGAACUUGAGUACGGGAGAGGAAAGUGGAAUUUCGAGUGUAGGGGUGAAAUCCGUAGAUAUUCGAAGGAACACCAGUGGCGAAGCGGCUUUCUGGACCGAUACUGACGCUGAGACGCGAAAGCGUGGGGAGCAAACAGGAUUAGAUACCCUGGUAGUCCACGCCGUAAACGAUGGGUACUAGUGUUGCGGGUAUUGACCCUGCAGUGC